rnacentral:rRNA from 1 species
UACGUAGGGUGCGAGCGUUGUCCGGAAUUACUGGGCGUAAAGAGCUCGUAGGUGGUUUGUCGCGUUGUUCGUGAAAACUCACAACUCAAUUGUGGGCGUGCGGGCGAUACGGGCAGACUGGAGUACUGCAGGGGAGACUGGAAUUCCUGGUGUAGCGGUGAAAUGCGCAGAUAUCAGGAGGAACACCGGUGGCGAAGGCGGGUCUCUGGGCCGAAUGACUGACGCUGGAGGAGCGAAAGCGUGGGGAGCGAACAGG